rnacentral:rRNA from 1 species
CGCGUAGGCGGCUUGAUAAGUAGGGGGUGAAAUCUCAUGGCUCAACCAUGAAACUGCCUUCUAAACUGUCAGGCUUGAGCACGGUAGAGGCAGAUGGAAUUCCCGGUGUAGCGGUGGAAUGCGUAGAGAUCGGGAAGAACACCAGUGGCGAAGGCGGUCUGCUGGGCCGUUGCUGACGCUGAUGCGCGACAGCGUGGGGAGCAAACA